rnacentral:rRNA from 1 species
UACGUAGGGACCGAGCGUUGUCCGGAAUCAUUGGGCGUAAAGCGCGUGUAGGCGGCCAGAUAGGUCUGCUGUGAAAACUCGAGGCUCAACCUCGAGCUGUCGGCGGAAACCAUCUGGCUAGAGUUCGGUAGGGGAGACUGGAAUUCCUGGUGUAGCGGUGAAAUGCGCAGAGUAUCAGGAGGAACACCGAUGGCGAAGGCAGGUCUCUGGGCCGAUACUGACGCUGAGGAGCGAAAGCGUGGGGAGCGAACAGG